CAUGGCACGUCCAGAGCCCCCACACCUCAUGGGAGAAAUCACUGGACAUGAGUAGUUUCUCUGUGCGUUAUUAUGCUUAUAAUCCUGUAAUUUGGUAAUAAGGCUCUAAUCACAGCCGUGCAGCGGGAGCAGCAGGGCCAGCCCGGAAAGGUGCCCCUCGGGGAUUCCCAGGCACAGCAGCCAGAGCGUGCCCAGAUGGACCAUGGAUUCCAUGGCUGGAAAGGCAGGGAGCGGA